rnacentral:misc_RNA from 1 species
CGUACUUGCCUGCACGCGGGUCUUUCGUCAAACCCCCGCGUGUGCCAUCCUUCACACAAACCCAUACGCGCCCACGGUACAGCAGAAACGGAGGAGAGGGGCACACGCACUUGAACCUCUCCGCCCUGCGUACAGUGGAGACGCGACGCGGCCUGUCGUAUCUAUGGCCAUCCUUGGCGCGAGCACACACACAAGCACGAGGAAGGACGUGAAGAGGCGACGCUGAUUCCACUCCUGGCACAGGCCCUCAAGAUCUCUUUGGUUUCGCUCGGCUUCGCUAUCCGCCAUCUCGCAUGGCGGCAGCCGCGUCACCGUUCUCGCUGCCUCGUGCGCGGUUGCCAGCGCUGCAGCAGCUCCCGCUUGACUCCAUCACGGUGUACGAUACGGCCACCCACUGCUACAUGCUCGGCACGGACAGCCUACAGAAGAACUUCCACCUUCUCUCCUGCCGCAAGCACAGCGCUGAGCAAGCACCGUGCCACAACGCUAUCAGCAACAGUAGCGUCGCCGCGGCCACUGGCAGUGAUGGACACCAGAACGCCACCGUGUCCGAGUCGGAGGCAGGGCGGGCAGGAGCGGGCACCGCUGCUCCCCCAAGCGCCUCCCACGCCGAACUGUUUGGCCUUGACGACUUGCACGACUUCACGAGCUACGCUGUCUACUCCCCGACAGAAGCCGGUGCCCUCGUCGACGCUCUGCGACGGGAGCACGGCCCGACCAUGCGCAUCCUCCCCGCAGUCGCCUUCCUCGGUGCGGUGCGCUUCACCGCCGGCUAUUACGUGGUACUGGCGACGGAGCGACGCAUGGCGGGCUACCUUGGCGUACACCGGCUCUUCGAGGCUGUGAGCGUGGAACUGGUCUCGCUGCAGCUGGAUCCUGAAUGGGUGGCCGCCGCAGAGACGCAGGCGCGAAAACGGCUGCAGCAGCUUCGGCGAGGCGGCGGCGUUGGUGCUCGAGGCUUCAAGGCCGGCUACUCCCCGUUUAUCUCUACACCAGAGACAACGGCAGGCUCGCCGUUCGCGCCUUCUACGUUCCGCUCACGCCCCGCCAGGGCUGGCUACGGCCGCAAGGCCGUCACCUCUGGUACGGGCGCCUCGGUGUCCGCCACCUCGUACAUUUUUCAGCGCCGCAGCCUGGAGGAGCUGUAUCGGCAGCAGUUCAUCACCUCCCUCUCGCGCGCCUCGUCUUUCUUUUACUCGCACAGCUACGACCUCACGAAUACCCUUCAGCGGAACAUGCUGGCGGCAGGGACAGCGGCGACCGACGGGGCCCAUCCGAUCACCUGCGCAGACAACGGAGGGCGGCACCACUUUGAGCGGCGCCCAGGUCGCGUCGCAGCGGCAGAUGCCAGGGUGGAGCCCUCCCCGCGAAAUCGUCAGCCGCUGCAGCCACGGAUGCAGUACGUGUGGAACGAAUACCUUUUGGAGCCGUGGCAGCGGAACGAUCGCAAUGCGGAAAGCGUCGACGCCGAGAUGAGUGACAUAGCCGAGGCCGAUGUCGGCAGCGGUGACGCGCCGGCAGCCCCGCCCGCCGGUCGCGCAAAACGGGAUUCGGCGCCGCAGUACCCAUCUGCGCUGUCGCGGUGGUAUGUCUUCCUCGUGCAUGGCUACAUUACGCAGCGCGCUGUGGUGGUACGUCAGCCAGCCUUUCGCACGCUUCUCAUCACGCUCAUCGCGCGUGUCAGCAAGGCGUCGGCCGGCGUACGCUACCUCCGGCGCGGCCUCAACAGCGACGGGCACGUUGCAAAUCACGUUGAGGUGGAGCAGAUCAUCAGCGACGAGUCUUCGUGGAACUCUGCCUUCACGGCUGGCACCCUCACCUCCUACGUCCAGCUGCGUGGGUCGGUGCCGGUGCGGUGGUAUCACCCACCGACAGCGUCGCGCCUGCUUCCGAAGCCGCCAAUCGUUAUAGGCCCGCACGACUCACAGUGGAGUGAGACAUGCCUUCACUUUCAGCACCUUCUGGAGCAGUACGGCGCACCCAUCUUGGUGCACGACCUUCUCAAGCGCAGAGAGAGCAACGCGCGGGAGAGCGUGCUCGGCGACGCGUACCGCGCGGCAGUACGUGCCAUGGUCGCCGCUGUGGACCGUUGGACCGCCGCCACGGACGCUGCGACCGCCUGCCGGGACGGUGCGGAGAGAGGUAACACAAGCGAGCCACGCGUCUGCGGCGCUGACGUUCUCCAGUACGAGUCUACUGACCUCCGCAGUCUCAGCCAGCUCGCGUGGAACACGAUGACGGCCGUGGCAGAGCAGCACUUCAGCGCAGUCCGCUGCUUUGUCAGCAGGCGAUGCUGCCCGGCCGCCACUCUUGAGCGGCACGCACAGUGUGCUUCUCUCCUCGAUAGCAGUGACGUGCUCAUGACGGGUGACACCAGCGAGGUCGCCGAAGCACACGGCAGACGCAUCAACGGCGACGGCGGAGAUGCCGAGGUUGUUCAGCUGCAGCGCGGUGUGGUCCGCAGCAACUGUCUCGACUGCAUCGACCGCACUAACCUUGGUCAGCUUUUCCACGGCCUCCAUGCUCUGGGAGAGCAGCUGUCCGCGCUCGGCCUGCUGCGGCACGCAGCGGACGUAUGUGACUCUCCAGCGGUAACGGAGAUGCUGCUUGAGAUGUACCUGGCCAUGGGCGACGCCAUAGCCACCCAGUACGGCGGCUCCGCCCAGGUCGGCGCUGGCGUGCUGCACCGCGGCGCAGGUUGGGAUCAGCUGAUGGGGGUGAAGCGCCUCUACCACAACGUCAUGGGUGAUCGUGACAAGCAGGAGGCAAUGAACCUUCUGCUCGGCCGCAAGCAGCCGCAGCCCCGCCGUGGCUCACGCGCCUGCAACGCAGAGAUGCACAGCCCUGGCCAAAUGGCCCCGCUCUCACUUGCCCAGACCUCCCCAUCAUCCACGGCGCCGUCGCUGAGCGCCUCCAUCACGUCUGCGUCGCCAGCGGUAGCGGCUGCGUUGGCUGGCGUGGGCCGCGGCCCGCUUGCAAGCGAGGAUGCCGUGAAACCGUCGGCAUCCUUCUUCUCUGGAAUCCGUCAGACGGCCUCGCGGUGGUGGAGCGAAGCAACUUCGUCGGCGUCGUCUUCUGGGGCGGCGGUGGCGGCCGCGGAGGCAGAGGCAGAGGCCGACUACUACGAGCAAGUCUCCAGCGCCCCACGGCUGCCUCUGGCCGGUCUGCUGACGUCGUGGUGGGUGCAGCCGCUACGCCGCUUCGACGAGUGGUGUGCUGCAUGUGGUGCCAGUGCACUGCGGGGCGCCACGAGGAAUAGCAAGAUGGCAGACGCCCCGAGCGUGUGGCCUUUAGGAGCAGUUGCUACCCCGAAGGCGCCACGCAGCUCCUUGGCUCACUCAGAUGCGCCUUUCUCCUCUCCCGCAUCGACGCUCGCCUCCUCGACAAGCUCCCGCGCCAGUGUGCUGACGAGCGCGGCCGUGGCGUCGGCCGGCGCCUACGGCGGAGACGAGCUUGCGCUUCGCCUUCUAGCUGCCGAGACGCAGGCGCAGGAACGUUGGAAGCUCUUCAUUGCCAAUGUGGAGCGACAAGCUUGCCUCGCCCCAGCUCGGCGCGACGCUGCCACGCAGCUCUACCACGACAGACGUAGGGGGGUGCCGCAUGGCGACGGGAACGACGAUACCGCUGCAGCACCGUCCCUGCCUUUACUCUUCUCUUCAGUCCCGGCGGGCACCCCCGCUAGCGACGCGUCGGCGCCGUCACGCACGAUGCAGUGGUCUCUCGUAAGCAGUGCCACGUCGUUGACUGCGCGUGCAGCGGCCGCCGCUGGCAGCGCGGAGGCAGGUGCCCUGUCCCGUGCAGGAUAUGCAACGGUGGCAUCGGCGGAGCUCGCGCCUCUGCCCCCCUCGGCACCGUUGUUGGCCGCUCCGCCGUGCCUCUUCCCUGAGCCGUGGGUUCUUCUCCGCACGACGAUGCACGUGUUGCCCGUCGAAAGCGUCGCCGCUUCAGAGUGCCGGCCGACCCGGACAUCGACUGCCUCUGCUGCUGCGUUGUGCUCUGGUGGCUUUGUGCGAUCGGGUAAGAAGCGUGCUGCGAUUUACAGCGUCGGCGAUGUUUUGCAGCAAGAGCCGCCGUACAGCGUCGGGCAAGCCGUUGCGCGCCAGCUCCUUGGCUGUUUCCCGCCUGCCGCCGCGGUCGUCACCGCUCACUCUCGGCGCCAGAUGUUGAUGGAGCGACAUCAGCCCUGGCGGUCGCCGCAGGAGGCUCAUCCACACGACGCCUUCCCAAGCAUCGUGCGGAACAGCGCGUUCGCGCUGCAGAAUGCAGACCUUGAACGGUUGGCGUACCGGGAGAUGCUGUGGAUAGUAGAUGGUGUCGACAGGGCGGCAGGUGAGGCUCGCGGGGUGUCCGCGGAAUCGCUGCAGAGUUCCGCGUCGCCUGCUUCGAUGGCGCAGCCCUCAUCACUGCCAGGAUGGCCGUGGACUCUCUCCACGCAGGAAGUCGCGGACCGUCAGUUCAUAGCGGCUCUGCUCGUGGGUUGGUUUGGUGCGCCGGCAACGUGGGGGCUAGAGGACAUGGUACGAGUGGUGCAGCGCCUCGUCUACCCCGAGCCCUUGCCGGUGGAGGUUCUGCAGGUGCUGCGCAGCAGCCGUGUGCAGCCGCCACUCGAAGGAGCGGAGCUUCUGUUCGCUGGUGCGCCUGCGAGGGCAGAAGAGGGCGCGGAGGAACGAGAGCAACGCGUGGACGCGGAGACGAGGCAGUACUGGCAUGAGCGACUCGCCGCACCAGUCGGUCAACGAGGUCCGCUCUUCGUCCGCGGUACUGCCGCCGCUGCCUUCAAGCAUGCCUCCAGGCCGACGGCGCCACGGCGAGACCCCGGAGGCAGAGGUGCCCUCCUUAGGCGGGCGUCACCCGUGCGCUUUUCCACGCCGUCCACGCCGCUGCCGUACCAGUGGGAUGUGGACGUCCACGCUGGCAGCCCCGUGCAAGCGGCGGUGGCUCUCCUCUGCCGUCUCACGAGCGUUCUACGCUUUGCGGCGCACGACAACACGGCGAGCGGGGCGUCGGUGAACGGCACGGGCAUCGGGCCGGUCGUGAUGGCGCGCGGCAACGGAGUCGUCGCGGCCACCUCUAUGGCAGCUCCCUGGAGCCACGUAGUCUCGACGGGUGAGAGUCGCGAUGGCGCGAGCGUGAACGUCCUCGCUGUAUCGGCGCACGACGCCGACGCUGCGCAGGACGAGGGGGCCGCGCCUGUCCGCCGUGUGGAAGAGGCGCUUCUCCCCUUACUGGAGGAAUGCCCCAACUCUGGCGCGCCCGCAUCUGCUUACCUUCCGGGCCUCUUUCCCGAGCAUGAGACCCUCCCCGACUCGCUGCGUCGGCAGUGGCUCCUGUGCCGUCUCCUGCAGCCCAUCUUCGCCCGCUGCGCGCUGACGCCACCAACGCUGCACAGCCUGCUUCGUGACUUCUUUGCCGAGCUGCUCACUCCCGACGAGGUGAAUGGGAAGAAUGAGCAGCGGCAACAGCGCCGACGCCGCGAGUACCGCGUCCGCUACAGCUUUGUGCUGCCCCAGCAGCACGGGCAGCUGCAGCAACAGCCACCGCAGGGGCAAAGCCCCAGCCUGCAACCCUCGGGCGGUAACGCUGCGGAUGGCGCUGGGGGUCGCGGGGAUGGAUGGUACCUGUACAAUCUCUUUUCGGGCAGGCCUACGUCGCUGUCGUCUUCCUCACCGCAGGAGCCGUCGAAUGUGGGCAAAGCCUCCUCGUCCCCCACCGCCGCCGCGGCCUCGCGAACGCUAAACAUUCCGGCCACGCUGAAGGUGCGGCACUGCUGUUCUGCCUUGGAUCUCUACCGCUGGUCUGUGGCGCACUGUCCGCUCUUCGUGAUUCCUUCUGAGGACGAGCCGAGCGGCGCGUCCGUGGUUUCCGGAAACAGCAGCAUCGCGAGCAGGAACAUCGCAGCGGCUGCGUGGCACCUGCUCUGGUGGGCAAUCGACAACAACUUUCUCAUUCCUGUAGUGCGCCGCCGCGGCCAGGCGACGCUCGAAAUGCUAGCGGAUGAGACAGCACUCUUCUGCGUGAAGCGCGACGUUGCGCGCGUCGCGCUGAACGUAGAGCGCCGCUGCCACGAUGACGUCUGGCGACCGCAGCAACCGGAAGCGCUGACCGACUCUGGGAAAGAGGUGCCUGGCUCCAGCGCCAUCUAUGGAGUCGAUCUCGCCCCAUCGAUGCUGCGGCUGCACCGGCCCCUUCGUCGCAGCGCUCUCGCCGGCAUCUUGACGCUGAGCGAAAAUCUGGCGAGUCUCGGGCUGCGUGCCGCGACGCAGGUGCAGGAGUUUUUCCGCGUUCGCACCGUGCACGGCUGGGUGCGGCAGUCCCUCGGCGCCAGCUCUGGCACUACGGUCGCUCUCUUCGGCGGCCGCGCCGUUGGUGCAACGGGAGUGGUAGACUCCUCCCCCGUGGCCAGCGCCAGCAGCGGCUCCAGCGCUGCCACAGCAGCCGCUGUCGUUCGACGUUUUCACCGGCUCGCUGUGGACUGCCUACAGAGCGUGCAGAGUGCCAUGGCAGCGCUUCAGCACAUGUCUCUCGAGGUUCUUGCGAGGGACGCCGCCAUGCACGACUACAUCAGCUUCUUUGUGAACGUGUACAAUGCCGCCUACGUAGCGGCGUGGCUGACCAAUGUGAAGGAGCUGGUGGGUAACGGCGCCGCAGCGGCAACGGCUGACACGAACUCACCCGCGAAGAGCAGCCAUCACCAACAUCAGGGUGCUCUUCGCGCGCCGAUACCACGCACCAUCGAUCUCUUCCCGCUGCCCACCUUGUGCAACACGAGCUACGCCUGCUUCAUGCACGCCUACGGCGUCGUCAUUGGCGGCGUGUUUGUGAGCCUCGAAGAGAUGAAAUACGGUAUCCUGGGCGGAAACCGAGCUCCGCCCCACUGCGACCUGCCGCUGUGGCCCCCAAUUGGGGGCAAUGGUGCCAAUCCGUGUCGCCCCUCUAUCAGUCAGCGGUCGAGCGAGCUGGACUGGCAACAGCAGAUGCAGCGACUUGUUCCGCUGCACCUGCGCGCUGACGUGCCCGAGGCGGCGCGGAUCAAUGCCCUUCGGCGUCAUCCGCACCUGCAAGAAGCGCUCGACUUCAUCGACAUGUGCGAGGCGCUCGCCCCCUCCACAUCGCACAUGCACGAUGCUUGCGCUGAGAGGGACGGGGCGCACGCAGUGUCGGCGAAGGCACGGCUCUCCUCGCACGAACAGGGUGCCGUGCGGAACCCAAGUGGCAGCUGUCGCGCCCCUUCCGUGUUGCAGCCCUCGCCGGCCCCUUCCCUCGGCACCGUGGCGGCCGCAGCAGCGGCAACGGACUCGGCUAGGCGAAGCCUACGUGUGUCGUCGUCGUUGCCGCCGGACACUUCAUCAGCGCGAGGGCCGGGCUGCCAAGGUGAUGGUGGCCCUCAGCCGCGCCGACGCCACGAGCUUGUUGAUGUGUGGAGCGUCGAUGUCGUGCGUUACUUGCCGUUCCGCAUCCUGCUUCAGCUCAUCGACACCUAUCUACCGCCGCCGGUGCUUCACCUGUGCGCCGGCAGCGUCGAUGCAGAGUGGAAGGAGAGCUCUGUGGAUGUCACCGGCGACGAUGAUGGCAGCGGUGCAGCAGGCAGCAGCAGCCCCGUCCUGCUCGACGGAAGAGACCGUGUACCGUGGUAUCUGCAGCCGAUCUUCAACGCCACGCCGCUGGUGCACACCGCCUUGCAGAGCUCCAAGCUCGGCGCCACCUACGCUGUUGCCCACGAUGGCGACGGACCGGCGGCCGGCAUGUUGACGCCACAGGUCAGCCAAGACGCAAACGGUGUGCUGCUGCAGCCGUCUCGCAUGUGGAGCAGUCCUUCAUACUACGUCGUCGGCGGCGACGGCAUCAGCGGUGAUGAAGCCGUGAGCCACUCCUUCCAACUCCUGCAAGCGCUGGCAGGCUCCUACCUCGGCGCCGGCCUCUACCACCCCAUCAGCCUUGGCACCACGGAUGGCAGCGCUGAGGAUGCUUCGCCGCGUGCUCCAACGCAGCACCUGUGUCUCCCCCUUCACUCUGGCGAUGCCUUCACGCAGCUGCGCGCGACGGAGGCAGCCUUCCGCAGUGCCCUCCUCACCACUGACCCGCACCUGUUUUGUGACGCCGCCGCACCACCACCAUCCACCAAGUCGCCCGUGGCGUCGGCGACGUUUUGGCGCUCGUCCCAGCCGCCGCCGCUGUCUUUGCCGACUGCCUCUUCGCAACCGCACCAUCUGCGCGGUCGUGGCGGUGCCGCCGGCAUGCACACAAGCGCAGCUGGCCCCGGCGCCAGACUGAUCUUUGGCGGCUCUGGCAGCUCCGCCACAUCUUGCUCUGCCACCCUGCAGAGCGCCAUGAAGCCUCUCUUGUACGAGUGGUGUCGGUCGGUAGAGAAGGAGAUGAGCAACUCUACCCUUCUCUCCCAACCUGGGUGGCAGAUGCGGGUAACGCUCCAAAUGGUGCGGCUGCUCGAGGAGUCCUACGCGUCGGGGAGGGCAGUGCGAGCAGCACAAGCGGCGAUGCAGUCUGGCUAGGCGGUGCCGAGCAAGU